rnacentral:rRNA from 1 species
UACGUAGGGUGCGAGCGUUAAUCGGAAUUACUGGGCGUAAAGCGUGCGCAGGCGGUUAUUUAAGUCAGGUGUGAAAGCCCUGGGCUUAACCUAGGAAUUGCGCUUGAGACUGGAUAGCUUGGAGUGCGGCAGAGGGAGGUGGAAUCCCACGUGUAGCAGUGAAAUGCGUAGAGAUGUGGAGGAACACCGAUGGCGAAGGCAGCCUCCUGGGCCAGCACUGACGCUCAUGCACGAAAGCGUGGGGAGCAAACAGG